AUAUGAUGCACAAAUUCAACCAUGAGUGCAGCAAACUACAACAUCAUACAACUGAGCCAGCAGCUACAUCAUCAUCUGCAGUAAGUUUCAGAGCCAAUCAACUCCUUGCUAGCAACUAUGGGCAGCUUGAUGGACAUACAACAAACCCAGCGGGCAAUAAUGACUGAAGCACAGAACACCAGAGGCCAGAUGCCACUUCCACACCUUCAUUCUUUUGAUGCAUAACCUGAGGAAUGGACAGUGUACCACUUGCAGUUUGAACAGCAUACAAUAUAUCAGAAAUUGUACCAGUUGGACCCGAUUGGCAUUAGAACGUGUUUGGAAUGGAUUGUACAAACUUUGAGACUGCUUCUGUGACAGAAGGAGAUAUGAGUCUUCAGUCUGGCAGUGUGCUUCACCAUAUUAAUCGAUUACCAUCUGUUUAAGUAGGAUAUUUUCCUGCAUUCCACAGUUAUAGUACAAAUAAUCUUUAACAUUGAGCUAUAUAUGUUACAGUUUGUUAUGAUCUGACAUAUGUCAUGUUAUUGACAUC